rnacentral:lncRNA from 1 species
AAUAAAAAAUAAACUAAAAUUAUGCUUAAUUUUUAUCUCUGUUUUGAAAAAUAUUCAGUAAUCUUUGAAUUCUAAUUUUAGGUGAGGAGUUUGCUGAAGGAGUUCAUGUUGGAAAAGGUGGCGCCUCAGUUGAGGGAUAAACAUGUGGAAAACUGUUGCAUUCGGGAACCCCUGAAAGCUGCUGUGAUUGUGCAUCAUGUAUGCAGACAGUAUGGCAUCAGACUUGACAAUAACGAGCUCCAUCGGCUCUGCUCUGCACUUUGCUUACCCAGAAAAGAGAAGGAUGCUUUUCAUGAGUACUGGACAGACUUUUCUCAGACCAUCGUUUCUGUUUUGCAAAGUUUACCACGAAUGUUGGUAGAUUUAAUCAAGGACGUAAAGAGAAGAGGAAUGACUCGGUGGAAUUUGGUACUACCACUUUUGCACCUUGUCAAAGACAGCAUCAAGCCCUUUGAAGCACAAAUCUCAAAUACAAAGUAUGGUUUGGCUUGGGCUGGACUCCAGGAACUAGAAAUGAGCAACACAACACUGGGCAGCCAAGAUACCAGAGCGGUCAUCAAAAUGAUGAAAGAUCACAGUCACUUGAUGGAGGUGGACUCCAUUUUGAUUCGAUCCUGCUUGUAUCUGAUGUCAUUUGAUAAGCUGAUGGAGUACACAAAGGAAAUGAACCCAGAGCUUCUGGACAUUCUUCUUGUUGUCACACAUAAAGUUCCUCCGGAGAUCUCUGCCAGCAGUUUUGAAGUGAGUUCAUCUUGA